UAUCAAGCUACUAAGAGCUUAUGGUGGAUGGCUUGGCUGGUAUAGACGAUGAAGGACGUGGCAAGCUGCGAUAAGCCGCGGGGAGGUGCAAGCAACCUUUGAUCCGCGGAUUUCCCAAUGGGGAAACCUUUCCCGAGUAAUGUCGGGAAACCUCUUUUUCUAUCGCAAGAUAGAAAUUAAGAAGAGGAGGUAACGCGGAGAAGUGAAACAUCUCAGUAUCCGCAGGAAAAGAAACCGAAAGGGAUUCCUUUAGUAGCGGCGAGCGAAAAAGGAAGAGUCCAAACCAAGAAAGCGUAAUAGUCUGCCGACGCUGCUUUUUUGGGGUCGUGGGGUACUAUUGGAGAAAAUGGCAGUUUUCUCAGGAAGUUACAAAACCUUUUCUUAGUCGAAUCACUUGGGAAAGUGAACCAUAGAAGGUGAUAGUCCUGUAGAUGAAAAGGAAAGGUCUUCCUGGAUAGUAUUCCCAAGUACCACGAGGCACGGGAAACCUUGUGGGAAUUCGGGCCGACCACGGUCCAAGACUAAAUACUAAUACCAGACCGAUAGUGCACCAGUACCGUGAGGGAAAGCUGAAAAGAUCCCCCGUUAGGGGAGUGAAAUAGAACCUGAAACCAUAAGCUUACACAGCGGUCGUAGCUCUAUGUGGUGACACAUAGAGUGGCGGCGUACCUUUUGCAGAAUGGUCCAGGGAGUUUCUGUCUGUAGCGAGCUUAAGUCUUGGUAGAUUUUACCAGAUGGAAGCGUAGGGAAACCGAGUCCAAAUAGGGCGUUUAGUUGCAGGCAGUAGACCCGAAGCCAGUCGAUCUACCCAUGACCAGGGUGAACUCCGUCGAAAGACGUGGGGGAGGCCCGAACCGGUGUCGGUUGAAAACGGCUCGGAUGAGUUGUGGGUGGGAGUGAAAGGCUAACCAAGGCUGGUGAUAGCUGGUUCUCCCCGAAAUAGCUUUAGGGCUAGCCUCCAGAAAUGGGUCCGGAGGGUAGAGCACAGGAUGAGCUAGGGUCGGAUUUUCCGAUACCAAACCCAACCUAACUCCGAAUAUCCGGAUACCUUACCUGGGGAGUAAGACUGUGGGGGCUAAGCUUCAUGGUCAAAAGGGAAACAGCCCAGACCGUCGGUUAAGGUCCUAAAAAGCAGGCUAAGUGGUAAAGGAUGUGGAGUUACUUAGACAGCCGGGAUGUUGGCUUAGAGGCAGCCAUCAUUUAAAGAGUGCGUAAUAGCUCACCGGUCGAGUGACUCUGCACCGAAAAUGAUCGGGGCUUAAGCCUGUUACCGAAACCACGGAUUUCCGAUGGAUAAUCGGAAGUGGUAGGGGAGCAUUCUAUGUGCGGUGAAGUCUUCACGUGAGUGGAGGUGGAGCACAUAGAAGAGAGUAUCUUGGAAUGAGUAGCGAAAACUCCGGUGAAAAACCGGAGCGCCGAAAGUCUCAGGUUUCUCCGUCAAUGUUAAUCAGACGGAGGUUAGACGGUCCUAAGCUAAACCCUCGUACUGAGGGGUAGGUGAUGGAUAAAGGCGUUAAUAUUCGCCUUCCACCUGUAGGCGUUCCGUGAAUAACGGACCUCUCUUUGAGAGGAACUUAAAAAUUGACGCAUAGGGUGCGGUGGUCGGACGGUUGGAAGUGUCCGUUUUUGUACCUUUCGGGGUACAAAAGGAGCCCAAGCUACGGCGCGGGUAAACCCACCAGAACUUCUGUGCCAAGAAAAGAUUUUUAAGUUGUUUACAGGUGACCGUACCGCAAUCCGACACAGGUAGACUGCCAGAAUAUGGUAAGGCGCUCGGGAUAACUCUUGCUAAGGAACUCGGCAAUCUAUCCCCGUAAGCUUGCAAGAAGGGGUGCCCUGAAUUUUUCAGGGUCGCAGUGAAGUGGCUCCCGGGACUGUUUAGCAAAAACACAGGUCCCUGCUUAACUCGUAAGAGGAUGUAUAGGGACUGAGACCUGCCCAGUGCCGGAAGGUUAAGGGGAAAGGUUAUCUGCCGAAAGGUGGAGAAGCUUUGAACCGAAGCCCCGGUAAACGGCGGCCGUAACUAUAACGGUCCUAAGGUAGCGAAAUUCCUCGUCGGGUAAGUUCCGACCCGCACGAAUGGUUUAACUACGGGAGCGCUGUCUCGGCAAGAGACCCGGUGAAAUUGUAGUGGCGGUGAAGAUGCCGUCUACCCGCAGCGGGACGAAAAGACCCCGGAACCUUUACUGUAGGCUGGUAUUGGAUUUUGGUUCGCUAUGUGUAGGAUAGGUGGGAGGCUAUGAAUCUCUGGCGUUAGCUGGAGAGGAGCCGUCGGUGAAAUACCACCCUUAUCGUACUAAAGUUCUAACCCACUUUUGGUGGGAACAGUGCCAGUUGGGCAGUUUAACUGGGGCGGUUUCCUCUUAAAAGAUAACAGAGGAGCCCAAAGGUACCCUCAGCCCGUUCGGAAAUCGGGCGUUGAGUGUAAGGGCAUAUGGGUGCUUGACUGUGAGGUCGACAGACCGAGCAGGCACGAAAGUGGGGCUUAGUGAUCCGGUGGUUGCUCGUGGGAGUGCCAUCGCUCAACGGAUAAAAGGUACUCCGGGGAUAACAGGCUUAUCGGGCCCGAGAGUUCACAUCGACGGCCCGGUUUGGCACCUCGAUGUCGGCUCAUCCCAUCCUGGGGCUGGAGAAGGUCCCAAGGGUCCGGCUGUUCGCCGGUUAAAGGGGUACGUGAGCUGGGUUCAGAACGUCGUGAGACAGUUCGGUCUCUAUCCACUGUGGGUGCAAGGAUCCUUGAAGGGGGGCUGUCCUUAGUACGAGAGGACCAGGACAGGGGAACCGCCGGUGUACCAGCUAUUCCGCCAGGAGUAAAGGCUGGGUAGCCGUGUUCCUGAAAGAUAAACGCUGAAUGCAUCUAAGCGUGAAGCUUGCCCUAAAACGAGGGAUCCCUUCCGCGUUAGCGGAUGAAGGCUGGUGGGAGACUACCACCUAUAUAGGGUUUAGGUAUAAGUCCGGUAACGGAUUUAGCCGAGAACUCCUAAUAGCCAAUCGGCUUGAUACC
rnacentral:rRNA from 1 species